UUGGUCAAUUUACAAUUUAGGAAUUGGUGGGAUUUGUUUUAAGGAGGGAAAUUAAAACAAGUCUUGGAGCCUUUUCAAAUUCAAGUUUUCAAGACUUUGACUUUCUUGUACUUCUCCUUAUAACAUGAACCCUUGUUUUAUGGAAAGUUGUUGGAAAGUGGUUGAGAUGUGAUUGACUAUUUGAUGAGUGAUGGUAAGUUUUUCAAGACUAACAA
rnacentral:lncRNA from 1 species